GGGGUGUCGUCUAAUGGUCAAGACUGCGGCUUCCAAACCCGCUGAUGGGGGUUCGAUUCCUCUCACCUCUG
rnacentral:tRNA from 1 species